rnacentral:lncRNA from 1 species
UGGUAUUCUCCCCGCGGGGCUCUGACCGCUGCCGCUCUCAGGCACCUGUCUUUCCUCUCCGUCCCAGAAUGGAGCCAAGACAAGGGAAUAAACGAAAUUCAAUAGUACACGGAGAUCGGGUGUCUGGGCAGCGUCUUGGAAAAACUAUCCACUACAGGUCAAGUGAAGUUCUUCUGCUGAUAUGUUCUGCUACUGCAUAAGAGACGGAAUCUAUGUUGCCUCGACUGGUCCUGAACUCCUGGGCUAAAGCGAUCCUUCUGCCUUGGCCUCCCAAAGUGCGAGGAUUAUAGAUAAGGACCCUGGCUAAAUAGCUUACCCAACAUUACUCCGUUAAUAAAUGGUAGAACCUGUAUUUCACUCAAGCAGUCUGGUGUCCACGCGAUUAACACUAGACUAUGUUGUCUCUCAAAAACUCAUCCUGAUUACCAAGCAAUCAACAACACAGAAGACAACUUCUGCAACCCUAUCGGGAGAGGAGGGGUUCUCUCCACCACCAGUCCCCUGGAAGAAUUCUCAAAACACAGAAUGCUUGCCAAGUCAAUCCUAAGCCAAAAGAACAAAGCUGGAGGCAUCACACUACCUGACUUCAAACUAUACUACAAGGAUGCAGUAACCAAAACAGCAUGGUACUGGUACCAAAACAGAGAUAUAGACCAAUGGAACAGAACAGAGCCCUCAGAAAUAAUGCCGCUUAUCUACAACCAUCUGAUCUUUGACAAACCUGACAAAAACAAGAAAUGGGGAAAGGAUUCCCUAUUUAAUAAAUGGUGCUGGGAAAACUGGCUAGCCAUAUGCAGAAAGCUGAAACUGGAUCCCUUCCUUACACCUUAUGCUAAAAUUAAUUCAAGAUGGAUUAAAGACUUAAAUGUUAGACCUAAAACCAUAAAAACCGUAGAAUAAAACCUAGGCAAUACCAUUCAGGACAUAGGCAUGGGCAAGGACUUCAUGUUUAAAACACCAAAAGCCAUGGCAACAGAAGCCAAAAUUGACAAAUAGGAUCUAAUUAAACUAAAGAGCUUCUGCACAGCAAAAGAAACUACCAUCAGAGUGAACAGGCAACCUACAGAAUGGGAGAAAAUUUUUGCAAUCUACUCAUCUGACAAAGGGCUAGUAUCCAGAAUCUACAAUGAACUCAAACAAAUUUACAAGAAAAAAACAACCCCAUCAAAAAGUGGGCAAACGAUAUGAACAGACACUUCUCAAAAGACGACAUUUAUGCUGCCAAAAGACACAUGAAAAAAUGCUCAUCAUCACUGGCCAUCAGAGAAAUGCAAAUCAAAACCACAAUGAGAUACCAUCUCACACCAGUUAGAAUGGCGAUCAUUAAAAAGUCAGGAAACAACAGGUGCUGGAGAGGAUGUGGAGAAACAGGAACACUUUUACACUGUUAGUGGGACUGUAAACUAGUUCAACCAUUGUGGAAGUCAGUGUGGCGAUUCCUCAGGGAUCUAGAACUAGAAAUACCAUUUGACCCAGCCAUCCCAUUACUGGGUAUAUACCCAAAGGAUUAUAAAUCAUGCUGCUAUAAAGACACAUGCACACGUAUGUUUAUUGUGGCACUAUUCACAAUAGCAAAGACUUGGAACCAACCCAAAUGUCCAAUAAUGAUAGACUGGAUUAAGAAAAUGUGGCACAUAUACACCAUGGAAUACUAUUCAGCCAUAAAAAAGGAUGAGUUCAUGUCCUUUGUAGGGACAUGGAUGAAGCCGGAAACCAUCAUUCUCAGCAAACUAUCGCAAGGACAAAAAACCAAACACCGCGUGUUCUCACUCAUAGGUAGGAACUGAACAAUGAGAACACAUGGACACAGGAAGGGGAACAUCACACGCCGGGGCCUGUUGUGGGGUGGGGGGAGCGGGGAGGGAUAGCAUUAGGAGAUAUACCUAAUGUUAAAUGACGAGUUACUGGGUGCAGCACACCAACAUGGCACAUGUAUACAUAUGUAACUAACCUGCACGUUGUGCACAUGUACCCUAAAACUUAAAGUAUAAUAAAGAAAAAAAAAACACAGAA